UACGGGGGGGGCAAGCGUUGUUCGGAAUUACUGGGCGUAAAGGGUUUGUAGGUGGCUUGUUAAGUCAGACGUGAAAUCCCUCAGCUUAACUGGGGAACUGCGUCUGAUACUGGCGAGCUUGAGUGCAGGAGAGGAACGCGGAAUUCCAGGUGUAGCGGUGAAAUGCGUAGAUAUUGGGAGGAACACCAGUGGCGAAGGCGGCUCACUGGACCGGUACUGACGCUGAUGCGCGAAAGCGUGGGGAGCAAACAGG
rnacentral:rRNA from 1 species